CAAUCUUAAUGAUUCUAUGAUUCUAUGGCUCUGUGAAGACUAGUGAUCUGGGCACAGUGCUGAGCUCAGAGAGGCAGGCAUACACCACAGGUUUGCUGUCUGACCAUAGGCAAGCCACCUUGUUUCCCCGUGAUUCAGUUUUCCACUUGUAAAAUGGGGAUAAUAAUAGACCUGUGCUUUACAAAGGUGAACUAAGGACAACUUGACUGCUCUUUAAGCAAGUUAUUUAGAGGGUAACUUCAAAGUAAAGCUAAUAAACACAGAAACACAAGUCACCCUAGCAAGGCACUGCCUGUGCAUUUAUAGUGGCUUGGGAAAACUAUUUAUAUUUGUUACAUUUUUCUGACACAGUUCUUCACUUUCCUACCACAAAAGCAGGUUCUGUGCUGCUACCUGUAGCAACUGGCAGAGGAGAAAAGGUUGGAUAGCAUUUCUGACUGGGGAAAAAAUAAAAGUCAGUUUUGGAGGUACAUCUGAGAUGACAAUUCCCUGAUAUUAUCUGUAGGUAGUUCCCACCACAAACCUGCCACAUAUAGACCAAAAUAAAUAGGUGAGCAGCCCCAAGGAAGAGCCUACAGGUGCUGGUUCUUUGACCAGCUCCAAUGAACACGAGUGGGGUUUUCAUGCAUGUCAGGAAGCUGCAAACUGAGACACCCUCUGUCAGUACCCCAGAUAGUUAAAAUCUGGGGCUUUAGUUAGUGGAUGGGCAACGAAGAGACUUGCAGAAGUAUGUUCAGAAGUGGGGUGCCCUGUGGUAAUCCCAGGAGGAUGCUGCACUUUUGGUUAAUUUAAUUCAGACACAAAUGCAGUGCAUCAGAGGGGAAGGCUGAUUGCUGCCUGGUUGCCUAAACGUAGCCUGUAGGACCUGCUUGCCUGUGCAUGAGGCUGCUGGGCUUUGGGAUAGCUUGGGGCCGUGGUGAGAGCUGCAGCAGACUGGCCAGGAGAGAAGAAAGCAGGAUAUGAGGAGGUCAAGCUGCUGACUUAACAGCAGAAAAUGGCUGAAUUGAAUUCAAAACGAGGAGUAAAUUACACUGGGGAUAUGAAUUUGGAAGGGUCUUAAUCUUGGCUCUGUAAGACCUCAGGUCAGGCUGCUGAAGCUUAAACUAAUCCAAAUGCAUGAGAUAUUUUACACAUCUUGUAUGACUCCAUGUGUUCGUGUUCGAGUCCUGUGUCAGGAGCAGCAUCCAGGUCCGUGCUGCUGACAACUGAAGCACUUGCUCUUGGCCCACCAGAAUGUCAGAUAAAAGUCUUUUUCAUCUUUCUCCCCCCCUGCACCACCUCCUUUUUUCUUUUUGGAAGCCCUAAUGGGUCUCUUUAACAGUGAAACCUCAACUAUAUAAUAUGUCUUUUUAUAUUUUAUUUUUUUUUCCCCUCUUGGGAUAAUUUAUAGCACAGUGUGGAAUCUGAGACAGUUCAUGCUGUGCCAAAGGGCCUGGCAACAGGAAGAAACGCUGAGCCACUGAGAUUUGGAACCAUAAUGCAAGUUAUAAAAUUUAAUUUUAGAAAUGCAGCUACUGGGAAUUGCUUUUGAAUGUACAUUUUCCCCUUAGUGCAUAAAAUAGUCUUGUGUCUUGAUUACGCUGUUAGGGUGGCAUGAAAGAGUGCUCUGUAGAGUAAGGGACAUACAGAGCUUUUUGUUGCUUAUUCACCGAUAUGCGAAAUUGGAAGCUGGGUGUUUAUAAAUGUUUAGAUAUUAAAUAUUAUGGGAAUGUGUGGAUUAUUUGGAGGAGUUUUGUAUCAGUCCAUUUCACUGCUGAUGCCUUGAGCUCGGGGAAGACUCGCCAAAGGAGCACAGGAGGUGGAGAGGCAAAGGAGGUGGAGAUGCACAGAAGCUGCCAAAGGCAACUUUUUAUUGCAAGACAAUGAAAAUCAGGAGCAGACAGGCAGCAAACUAUGGUUAUCUGGCAGAAACUGUGGACAACACCACCUUCUUCAAUGGAGCAAGUAGAACUAAAGAUGUCCAUUCAUUGACCUCUAUGCUAAACAUGUGAGACACAUUCACAUCAGGACAACAAUGUGCUUUCAUGUUGAAAGGAAAGGGAAGGAAUAAGCAAAGAUUCACAAGGCAGCUGAUUUCUUGAUUUCUUGAGACAAAUGCAAAGUGCAGAUUUGAGACUUGGGGAAAAAGAGGGUUGAUGACAUCCAUGUGAAGGUACAAAGCGGAAGGUGCCCUCUUUGGAGUUGGAGAUCCUAUUCCAUUGACUGAAUAUAGAUGGGGUUGGGGUUUCUCAUAGUGCUGCUGCAGUCAGUAUCUUGCCCUCCAUUACAAAGAGUAUCUUUGAUAGGACAAUCUGUGUUUCAGAGACAGUCCUAUUUUGGUCUUUCUGCUAGGAGGUUGUUUCCUGUGAACUGUAAGAAGAAAAAGGCAAUAGGUUAACUCCUAAGAGGGUGCAAACGAGGAUAGAAAAUUUGUGUUUUCAUCGUGCCUACCAGAAAGCAAGUGCUGCAGUAAGUGAAGUAUCCUUUAUGUGUGCUGUGCACAUUGCUGCUGAGCAACAUUAUGUUUUGUGGCAGCAUUACACUGAGGGUCCCAGAGCAGAACAUUGAUGGGCAGCAGCUAGAAAUGCAUCACCCUGCAUACCACUCAUUGCUCCUAGCUAAAGUUUAUCUUGAUACCAAUCCUGCCUGUGGCGGGACAGGUCUCUGCCCUUCUGGACAAACCUGGAUGUACCCCAGUGCCAUGCUGGAGCAAGGCCUUUCCAACUUCUUUCCUGUCCCCUGGCAGCCCCAGAGUGCCAUGGGGACAGCAUUCCAAGGCCUGCCUCGGCCAGGCCGUAGGCCCUGUUGCUCCCACCUGGCCGAAGUUAAUGUCGCUGUGCUUUAUCCUAUGCCGCCAUGUUAGGGUCUGCUUUCUUAUAGUUAGAUGUCUGGUUGGACCUCAUGUCUUGGAAACUCCUAAUGCUACUAAGGGAGAAUUCAUGACCUUGCAGCUGCACUUCUGCCAGCUUCUGGUGUUUCUUGCCUAUUUCUGUCUGGAAAGCAAUUGCAAAAGGGUCCAAAAAUGAGAUUUGUUUGGGUUUGUUAUUUUACAGCUCCACAGUACUGAGCACAGUACUUUAUGACAGUCUGGGGUUGAAUUUCAGAUGAGUUACUCUGAUGCGGGGUUAGUACAGGGACCGCCACAAGUUUCCUCCUGUUAUUCACCCUGUCAGACGUUACUUCUUCUAUAAAAGCCUCCUCUCCCAGAGUGAGCUAUAGUAAGUAGGCACUGCUGUUUUCAGUGGGCCUGGUUCUUCAGAGUACACCAUGUCUUGGGCUGCCCCAUGAUAUGGUUUCAAUGCCAUAUUUGUUUCUCCUGUCCUUGCAGAGAGAUGUUCUCAGUAUAACUUCAGAUAGCUGGUUAGAUACUUCACCAGUGGAUGAGGGGUUUAAAAACUAAAAUUAAAAGAAAAGUCAACAGACCUCAUGUAUCAGUGAGAUUUUCUGAUCUUUUUCCCCCCCUCCCACAAUAGGACAUCGUCAGAAACUAGAUGAGCAGACAAAGCCCGGGAGCUUGUCCUUUUCAGAGCGUCUGAGUGAACUGGAGCAGUUGCGUCGUACGGCCAUGAGGGUCAGCCCACACCACCCAGCCCCCACACCCAACCCACGAGCCUCCUUGAACCACACCACUGCUUUUAACCCUCAGCCUCAGAGUCAGAUUCAGGCACGGCGCAUCCUAGAGCACAAAUUUUACUGAAGACAUGACAACCUUGGUUUUUAAGCAGAAGGAGAGGAACUUAGAAGUCUUUUUUUUUGUCAAAGGUUUUGCCUAAGGUUUGACAGAGUCAGUCUGGAUACCUUUUGGCAAGCUGUUUGAAACACGAAAACUAAAGAGAUUUUUGGAAAACUUGUCACACAUUAAAGGUAUCUUAGCAAGAUUUUAGUUAGUAGCCAAAUAUGUUGGCCCCAGAGAAAUCAGUUACAAUGACAGAGAUGCCUUUGGAAAUGCCCUUAGCUGCCUCAAUGAAUAUUCUGGGCAGUGAUAAAACUUGGCAGCUCAUGCCCAGCCAUAGUUCUGUUUUUCAUUAGUCAGUCCAUUGUCUCUUGCCACAUGAUAGCAAUGUUUAGCUGAUGGUUACCACUAAAGAAACAGAGCUUGCAGGUAGGAACAAGUAUCCCCAUUUCAGCUCUUCACUUUCACAGCAGAUCUCUCCGUUCUACUUCGUUUUGCCAUUUCUGAAUCACUAAACUCCCCACUCCAGUGCAAAAGUGUAGACACUCUUUGACUUGGUGCAGGAACCUUGUAGGUGCAUUAACGUUACCCCAUGUAAGUGGCUUUCAGUGGUCACUGUGACAGUCAGAGACAUGACAUUCCUUGGGCUCAUUUCUCACUUCCUUCACUCCCCUAGGGCACAGCAGUGCUGGAAGCACCUUUCUGAGCUGCUGCCUUUAGGUCCUCUUCUUGACUGCUCACUUCUGAGGCAGAGGAGAGGCUCAGCAUCCUUCAGGAUGGCAGCUUCCAUGCAGCUUCCUCUGAGCCACACAGUAUUGUACCUCUGUGACAUUUCAUGUCAACUGAUGAGCUGUGUCACUAGGCUCUCCUGAUUUUCCAUGGGAACAUCUUAUCCCAGCUCAUCGCUUCUCUUCCUCAGCACCAAAUUCCACCUGUUGCAGCAAAGUGCUGAAGCUAUCUAAAUCAAAUACUCCUGCCUGCCCCUCUGCCCUGAACCUUGGAGGGCAGCAAGUGGCCAUGUACUUGACAGCAUUCUAGCAUUUGAGGCAGAUGCUUUUUGUUUUUUGGGUUAUUCCUUACUGGCCCUCGAAGGAAAUUCUUGGCCUUUGAAUAGCUCAAUUGUGAUGAAGAUUAAAAGUACUGAUUGCAAAACUCUGGUAAAUAAAAUCUCUUAGUUCUUUACUGACAAAUCCAGUUUCUUUCCAUGGCUCCAUGGCAUUCUUCUCUUUAAUCCCUUCUUGGCAGAACAUGACAUAUUUUGAUACCAGAGCUCAAAUUACCUCCCAUAGUAAAUAAAACAAACAAAAAAAAAUAAAUAAGCGCUCCUUACCCUAAAAACAAACACCCACUGAAACCAGCUUAUUUAGCUGAUGCUGCUGCCCAUGUGCCAGAAAUAUUGCUUUGACUUUGUAACUGAGUGGAUUGUUUUCCUUCAGAUGUAUUGAACCUGUAUUGAACCUUUCCAAACCCAAAAUGCUGCAGUGAUCACAAGCACCCCUACAAUCUAGAAAAUAAAGAAGGUAACAAAUGAGAAGACUAACACAUAAGUUGGUCCGUAUACCCAGGCAGAUGUGAAUCCACCAGACCUUCUUUUCACCUUGGUGACUUCUGCUCCACUCAGUACGCUGGAUCUCUGUGUGGAGCUCCUUCAGGCUUUGGGGCUGAGCCCUCCAGCUCCAGUGGGAUUUCAUCCGUGGGGCAGGGGCUCCCUCAGAGCAUCAGGUGCAGGCAUGCCCUUGCCUCUUCCGCUGCCAUGUCUUUUAACAAGGUGUUACGUCAGGCCACUUUCCUCCAAUAAUCACCCGUAUGCCGAGGGUUCACAGGGCUCUUCUCACAUGAUUGAGUACACAAUACACCCUUAGUAAACAUAUUCAUAAGUUUUCCCUAUAUGUGUUCAGUAUAUUAUGACCUCUACAAAUGGAGAUUGUUUGCAUGCGAAGAACAGUGUGCUUGGAUAUGCUUCGUAAAGCAGACAGUUUUGUGGGGAAGCGUACACUGUAUAGUCAAUAGAAGAUUGCCUCCAUCUGACCUUUUUCAUUCUGCAUAUACACGUCUUCACUUAAAAGCACUGAAAAACGGCAUGGGAAAUAGAUCCAUUAAAAAACUGUGGUUUUGCUCUGAAGGUCAGCUUGAUUUCUAACUGUAAAUGUCUAGGUCUGCUUCAGAAGUUUAUCUGUGCUGGGCAACAUAAUCAGUUCAAGAUUGGUGAUUCUGAGAGCUUGCAGGUCUUCGAGAUCAAUUCCAGGCACUUUCAAGGAGCCUGGAUUUCUGAAAAAGAAUUGCUUUGAAUGUCUUUGGUUAGGUAUGACAAGAUCACUAGGCAUGCUUUAUAAUCUAAACCAUUGUGGUUUACUCCCUUUGUAUUUUAAAGUAAGUACAAUUACCAGAGCUUUUAGGAAUGACUUGGCCAGCUUAGGUUCCCUCAUUUCUUGAUGAUCAAGUUCAGGUAAUGAAUGAAAAAUACUGAAGCCAAAAUCCUUCUUAUAGAAAAAAAAAAGUUGCAUAUUAACUGCUUUAUUCAUUUAUAAGUUUCCAGUAUUCAAAGAAGUUGCUGUAAAUUGGUAUGUCCUUUGAAAUGUAGAAGAGACAAUGUUUUGUCAGCAGUGAUGCUUUAUUUUAUUAGUAUAAUGAUGAUUUACAACUAGCUGAACAAGUAUGGCAUUUAUGAUGAUUUCAGUUCUCAUUGCAUAAGCUUACUGAAGUGCAUUUAAUUUGAAAUCUCCGAAGUCCAAAUGAUGAUCCUCAUUCAGCAGUAAAGCAUAAGAAUAGCUGCUCAAAGGAACAGACUCUUUGAGAUCCUUGAGACCUACAUGUACAUGAGCAAUUUCACAUGCAAAACCACUUGCAAAUUCAGACCCACUAUUAAUGACUUUAUGGGGAAAGUAUCAACAAGAAAACUGUACUAUUCUACCAUACAUUAUAAAAGUGAACACUUGUAUUGACUUGAAAAAGAACCACACAAAAGGGACUUUUCAAAUGAGUGCAAACCAAGAUUAGCCAGCUCGUGUUCACCCAGAUACAAAUGGAGUGCUAGCAGAUUGCCUUCUCUUCAAACAUUGUUUUGAAAGCCCCUUUCAGCUUGUAAGCACAUACCUGGGCAUUUGAGCCAAGCUCUUGUGAUGGUGGCGCUCCCCAGCUACCACCCCUGUAAGCCUCCCAUUGCCCAGCCAGAGGACGAGAUUACAGAUGGAUGUGGCAGGGAACCAGCCUGCGACCUGCAGCUGUGUCAGGGCCAGGAGCCAGCCCUCAUCCCAGGCAGUGUCUGUCAUCCUUCACUUGGCAAGAGACUGUGUUGGGAAAUGCAAGAACUGAGUGAUCUGCUCCCAGGACAGAGGAACUGGUGAUGCCUGAGAUGAGGGCUUGCAGCCAUCCCAGUGGGAGCACCCAGAUCUUCCACAGAAAUGGGCUGUGGCAUGAGUGCAGCUGAAACAGCACAGAGGGAUCAGGCUGCUGCAACAACAUAGCCAGUAGUCAGGCUCUUGGUGCUUGGAUCUGCAAGCAUGCUGGGAGCACGUGUUUCAUGUGCUACCGGCGUCUUGCUCCUUGUUACAUGGUACAAGAAAACAGGGCAGGCUCCAUCACCAGGAGCAUAGGGAGAAAAUGGGCAGAGCAAAGCCUUGGACACAGCAAGAGGGCUGGGCCUGUUCUGGGUCACCGCUGGGUGAUUGAGGCUGGGGUGGCACGUGGGAUCACUCCUGUAUGUGGCUGAGCCAUCAGCUGCACCCUCACUGGCCUCCCAUGCCCUCACCAGGUGAGUAAGCCAGCCAGGCACAGCGCAGGGACUGCUGGGGUGAAGCGAGUGAGAGAAGGAAAGCCAGAGAGCACAAAAACAGGUUUUCCUAGAAAAGUGAAGGAAACAUAUCCAUGAAACAAAAAA